rnacentral:misc_RNA from 1 species
AUAAAGCAUUCUUAUAACUAACAUAAGCGGCUUAACAUCCAAAAGAAGGGUUUGGCUGGGACAAACUGUACAUUGGCUGGCUCAGAAGUCUGUAACUGUUUAACUUACAUGUACACAAGAAAAAUUUCAAAGCAAUGUCCUGAUCAUAUUUCAUAUUGACAGAGGCCAAAAAAUAACUGAAUUGGAUUGUUGAUGUUACAAAAAUGAUGCAUUUACAAGGAGUGGAAAUGAUUAUCAAUUCAAAUAUCGCCUGCAAUUUUUUGAAUUGCAAAAACAAGGGAUCUUCUUACCUUCGUCUUCAUGGUUAAAAUGGUAGUCGUAUGUUAUCUCUUCCCCGGGAUAUAUGUCCCUCUCAGCGAAAAAAACGACCUUCUUUUCAUUCCGCACACAAAUAAUUUUGGCAACGCAGUUUGGCAGGCAUGAAUGAUUGACAAAACGAGCAAUUCCCCCUUUCCGUGUUGCAUCAAUAAUAUGUUCUUUGUCUAUUCUGAAGAAGUAACAAGCACUCUUGUACUGCAGCUUUUUUCCAGAUUGAUACUCAUUCUCCCUUUUAUCAGCCACACGUAGCCCAACAAUCUCACCAACAUACUCAACCACCAUUUCACCACGUGAAAUGAACCGAGAUGUGUAAAGACCAAGGGCAUGUAUGCCAGACUUGUAAACAACCAAAUGUUUCCAACCCUUUGCUUGUUUGUAGCGGGCAUAUUCUUUCCGACAGUCAUACUCCUUUUCUGAUAUUGGCAGCUUUGAAAGUCCCUGUGCACAAGAUUUCUGUCCAUUAAUGUAAACCCAAGCAUUUACCUGCUCCUGAGGAACAAGGCAUCCUCCCCUUCCAUUUGAUUGACUAUUAAUAUCAUGCCAGAAGCCAUCCCGCUUGCGGCCCUUAUAGCCCUCAGUCCUGGCACAGCUUGCUUCCUUCUCUCCUGUAUAACCUGCUUCAAUGUUGGCAGCAUCACAGGCAGAUUCAUUUGCCAGGCCUGUUGCAUGAGUCGCACAUCUUCCAUAAAAACCAACAUUUUCAUUAUCAAUACCUUCAGCCUCACUUUGCAGCAGACCCUUCUGGUGAGCACACCAAGGAUGAAACUGAACAGAGCAAUUCACAUCCCUGCACUGUAUACAUGAGCCACCUGGUCGAUUGCACAUAGAGCACACCACGUUUGCUCUAGGGUGUGAAGCACCAGAAACAUCAAAAGCACUCAUGGUAUCCACAUUUGGGCAUCUUGUCCCGGGAGUCCAGAGGCCACAAACCAUGUGAACCCACUGCUUAACAGUUGAAUCAAGUACUCCAGCUGUAAUACUGUUGUGCACUUUUAGAUCACUAAUACAGCACAAGGACUUUUGCAAAAUAUCCAAUUUUUUAUGCACAUCAAUAUUGUAAAUGGUUGAAGCUGAUGGCUCAAUUUUCAAGGGUCUUAAAACAGGAUAUGAACUAUUUUCAGGUACAGAUUCUGAAGAAUAAAACAAGUUCAAUCCAUCCUGCAUAGUUUCAGCAGAAGAAAUUGCAUUUUUAGGCCUGCAUUCUGUGUCAAGGUUCCAAACUUUUAAAAGGCUUUUCACAAUUGUACGACUGCGGAGUGCUCGAGUCAUAGCCCCACCACCAUAACCACAAAGAACACAAACAAUAUUUUUUGAACUUGUCCUGCAAGGUCUGCAAUACCAGUGGCCUUUAGGCACUUUGGAAACACCGUAGCAAGCCUGAUGUACUCUAAUAGAACAUCGGCCACACUCCAAUAAGCAAUUAACAUCAUCUUUGUUUGAGCUUCCACAAACACAGCAGAGUGAAUUUAUAUCUGUAAUAGACAGGUGCUUCUGCUCUCUAACAUAUCUUUUGGCAUCAACUUUCCGUGAUCCAUGAAUGUGAUUUUUAUCAGAAUUCUUCAGAAUUUGUUGCAAUUUGAUUUUUGGCUUACAUUUGAAAAUCUUGUUCUGGGAAACCAUUUUAGGACUGGGAUUCAUUCCUUUUAAUGUCAGCUCAUAAAUGCUGCGUUUGCGAGUUUCCUUAUACUUUGUUUUUGACUGACCAUUAGCAUUGUCCAGUAUAACAGGAACUUUCCGACUUUUAUCUUCUCUUUUUUCCAGCACCGAAAACUCAUCAGCAGAUUGUUCAUCCCCACUGGCAAAAGCAACGUCCCUUUCUUCCAGAGGGGAGUGAAUAUUCAUCUCCUCAGACUCCAAAUCAUCAUUGCUCCAAUUUUCUUUCUCUUUCUUCAACUUGGAGAACUUAUCAAAGCAUGCAUUGCUCCAACUAAAGUUUGCACUCUUCCAUUCCCUUGAGGAAGUUAGUCCAGGUUUACAAUUUUUGGGUAGCGAACAUCUUCUGGCAGUUUUAAGAAUCUUAUCAAGAGAAACAAUUUUAUAUGACUUUGUCACAUCUCCAGUCAUGUUUCCAUUGACGAUUUCACCAUAGUUCCCACAUACAACAGGCUUAGCCUUCCUGCAACAGAGAUUCACCUGCCAACUUGAAGGUGCCUUCAGAUAAUUUACCGACUCAUACUUUAAAUUUUGUUCACCUACUGCAGGAGUUGAUUCUUGCAUCUGAAAUUGCAUGCACAUGUCAGCAGUCUGUGUGCUUCUGAAUUUCUUUCUGUCUGAGAUCUUGAGGAUUUUACAAGAGUUGUCACUACAAUUCAUUUCCCUAUCAUGAUCAUUUUCCCUAUCUCUUGCAUUGUAAAGUCUCCGAAGAUCUCUUUUAUGAGACGGUGCUUUGGUGACAGGUAAUGUAGAGUUCCCAUGUUUGGUAUUAAUUUUAACAGAGUGAGCACCACAUGUCCGAGAUGAUUCUGGGCCUGAUGAAAUCAUUAGCAUGUUAUUGGAUAAACAAGGCCAAUCAACAUCACACUCAGGAUAUUUAUCAUGCACUACAGGAGGUGCAGUGUGCAAUGAUGCAUCCAAUACCUUCAAUUUCAUUUCUCUCUUUCUCUUCCCAGUUUUCAAGCCCCUCCCAGACUCAUGUGACUGAUUGGUCUUCCCACAAACAGUAAGGCCGCUGUGAUUUUGACUUUGGCUUUUCUUCCAUGUCAGUGAAUCCAUGAGCUUAACCUCAUCAAGAAGACUACGAGAUGAUUUAUUGCCAGAACCCUUACAAGAUCCUUCUUUUCUCUCGUUUGUCUUACAAUUAUGACCAUAGAAAUCAGUACUUCUGUCACUUUCAAAGGCAUCAUCAGAUGACCAGCAUUUAUCAAUGCCUGAUCCUUCAUCAACUAUAAGAUUGUCUACGUACCCAGUAUUUCCAACAACAGUUGAAGAAUCCACAUUGGUAACCUCAAUCGAUGCCUGAGUAACAGCAGGGGUAGAGCAACCAGAAGAUAUAUUAGACAUAUCUUGAUCUUUAGAAGAGUCUGCUGUGUGAACUGCUCCAUGAGAACACUUAGCAGCACCAUCUUCAGGUCCUCUUUCAUCCAAUGCAUCACUUGGUCGUCUUACAGAUGCCACUUCACAAACCCUUUUCACCUUGCUUGGCACAUCUUUCCACUGAGAAGCGUUACAACUAAUGUUCUUAGAUAACUGUCCCUUUAAUGUCUCACAUUGACCAAAGGAAAUUGAAUUUUCUUUAGGAACAAUGUAAUCUUUAGCAAACUGUGAAGCAACUAACAUAGGGGUUUUGCAACUCAAGCUUUCUGUUUGUUCUCUCAAUGAAUUAGAAGAAUUUCCACUGAAAUUGCAUUUUCCUCCUAUACAGGUAUGGGCUGCACAGCCGCAGUUGUACUGAAAAUAAAGUGUUCUCUGACAGCAGUUAUCAUGCUCAUUUGAAAGAGUGAUGUUGUUUUGACUUUUACCAAGCCUCAAUGAAGACUGUUCAUUUUGAAGAGGAUUGUAAGAAAGCUGACACUGCUUGCCAAUUUCUUUACACUGUAAUGGCAAUCCUUGUGUCAAGGUUGAAAAAUUGCACCACCUGUUCAAGCCUGUCACAGAUGCAAAUUUAUCAACAUCGUUAACCAUCUUACUAGUAGGACCAGAUUGGUCUGAUUUCAUGGCAACUUCAGAAACAUCCUGUUUCCUGCUAAGGUUAGGCACAUGCCUUUGUUCUUCAGAUGUUGAUGGUUCAACAAAAGAAUGCUGCACUUUGACAGAAGAGUUGCUACAUUUCCCUAGUUCUAGAUUCUUUCCAAGGGCAGACAAUGUGUGUUGUUUUGACAACUCCAAUAUCUGCCCAAGCGCAAGCAAUCUUAGAUUAUCUUCAAGCAAAUGAGGGCUUAUACCAAUGCUCUCAUGGUUCAACGUGGCUGGUGUCAGCCCAGGAAUGGAUGUUGGAGUAGAUGAAGGAGAGCCUAUCGGAACUGCCCGUGAUGACAAAAUUUGCCUAGAAUCUGUGGGUGACCCCCUGGAUCUAAGGAGCGACUGAUCUAUAUGUCCACUUUUCCCAAAACAAGGAACCUUCUCAAGACAGUUGGAAAAUUUUCCAGCAGAUACAUCUGUUGGCAUGUUAGACAAGUGAUGUGAGUAACGGUUUUUGUUAUGCAUCACUGGAACAGUAGAGCAACCAUUUCCACUGACAGCUCCAGUAAAAGAGCUUGGAUUUUCCAUCCACUUAUUCAUUUUAGACCCUGAAGCUGUUUCAGUGUAAGAGUUACCAGCAAGACAUCCCACCCCUUUACCCUUGUCUGCAGAUUUGAGACAACCCAGAUCAGGGAGCAUAUAUUGCUUAUCUAAACCAUUGCCACCAUUCCAGGGGACAAUAAUGGGUUCACAGUUGACAAAAUGAGAUUCACAAUGUUGCAUCUCAGGUAUGACGUGCUCCCUCAAAUUGAGUAAAUUAUUAGUAGCUUUAGAGUUUGAGCUUCCCUCAGGGAUAGAGUAGUGUUUAAAUAGUGAAACUCCUGAAGUCUUGGCAAUGUUGCCUCUAAGUAAUUCCACUUUACCACCAUCCAUGGCAUUAUUGAUUACACAGCUCCCAUAGCCCAAGUGGCCUUGUUCCCUUCUUGUGGUGGAAUUAGACGGGCCAGUAGCACGGUUAGGAAAUAGUCUGGAUUCCUUCUCUCCCCUGAAACUGGUUACAUUAUGAAUCAUCUGCUCUUGGGGAAAUGGCUUCUGUGAAUUGACAAGUGUGUUGUGGAACUGUUGUCCUAUUACAGGUAGAACUGAAUUUCCUGAAGAUUGAUUCUGCUGAUAUGGUUGCCCAAGCUUCAACUCCAUGCUUGAAGAAGCAUCCUUGUCCAUGAUAGCACCAACCCAUGCACCUUUACCACUGCUAACAUCAGAGUUUUUAACAAGGUUUCUAUGAUUUUGCAGGGUACGGUGGGCAGUAGCCAAACUUGCACUGUUCCCAAUAGAAUCAAUAUACGUGGAUUUGCAUACAUUUUCUGGUCCUCUGCCAGUAAACUUUGGCACUGUUGAGCACCUAGAGAUAAAGCAAUCAGUCACAUGGUUAUCCUCCACACCAGAAGAACUGUUCUGCGAAGUGGCAACUAAACCUCUGAGAUAAAAUAGGUUACCAUCCUGUCCAUUUCUCUGUUGUUUAUCACAUAAAGCAUCAACAACUGAAUUCUGUUCUGCAAGAAAGUUCUUUGGAAAAACAUCACCCAAAGGCUGCCCAGACCUUACUAAACCUCCAGAUGGGACAACCAGAUUACUGCAGUCAGAAUUCUUAGGCAUGUUGGAUAUAGGCACACCAGAUUUCACUAAACUAGCAGUCAAUGAUAAUCCUUCAGGCCAGUCCCACCCACUCUGAUCUUCUGGAACCCUAAUCUAAAGCAUCAUAAAAACAUCACCAUCCAGUGUUCUCGUUGCUUCAAGCACAUGCCAAUAAGAAACAUCACCAUCCAAUCUAUGACAAGCUACCACUUAGAAUAAAGAUUAAGGUUUGAUGGCAUCAAUAUAAUAAGAAGUAAACCUAUUGGCAUGCCUGUGUAAAUAGUAAAUACAUAGAUAUAUGAAUAUAAGGUUGAACAGAAAUAUCAUGCAACAAAGUUGAACAUGGAUUAGGGAAAUUGUGUACACAUUUAGUUAUGCCAAUCUGCAGCAUGAGGAGGCCAUGCAAUAGCCAAACAAUCCUUGCAUAUUCACUCUACAAACAAGUCCCUCAAACUCUUGGGAACAUCAACUUUCAGUGGCAACAGAGUUACCUUUUCUAACUAUAUAUGUAAUUGUCAAAAUUCAAAAAUGCUAUUUUAUCUUCUAAAGCAUCAAACCAUUAUUGACAGAAUUCAGUACAACACAUGCUCCUAGGCUUCCUGAUCAUGCUCAAGGUUUUGGCACUCAACCACCAAAAAGGUAAUUAGAAAAACAUCACAUUUACUACAAGAACUAGCUUUGAUCAUAGAAGAUUAUCAUAUGCUGCAUUUGAAGUACAUCAGUUUGAUUGACCACUGCAUUUCAAGAUAAAUUCCAAAGCAAAUACAGUGGUACAAAAAUUUAAAAAAGAAAAAUAAGCACAUAAUGACCAACAUAUCAAGUUCUUUGCACUAUCACAAAUAUACAGAUUUUCAACAUUUAUGUGCAGAUAAAUGGAUGAGCUUGUACAUGUGGAUUCAGAGGCACAUGCAUGUAAUUACAAGUGAGCAAAAACUGAAUUCUUCUCAAGAGACUAGAAGCAAGGGCAUUGUGAAAAUCUUACCCCAAAUUUUUGGAAAUAGACCCUACGCCACUGAGCAAUUGUCUCUCCACUGUCCAUACGAACAGCAUCACCAGGGUUAAGAUUCCAUAAUCCUGAGUGCUCACAGAAUUUAGAGACAGACAUGUGGAAGCAAUGGCACGAACAAAGAAUACCUAGGAGUCCUGUAUUGCUGAGUAAUAGAUCUCCACUUCUAUCCAAGCAAAAGACACGAGGGCACCCCCUCGAAGAAGUAGAUGACUUAUUAUAAGCAGAGGACUCUGCUUCUAAGGGCAAUUUUUGUGGUAUUUGAUUGUUCACACUCUGAAGCUUUAAAGCAUUUGCAAUGGGUGUGCUACACCCUUCACCUCUCAAAGAAGGAAAAUCUUUAAUUUUCUCGUUACCAAGAUCUGUAUGAUGAACAACUGUCUUGGGCAGGUCUAAGCCAUGAGUACUAAUGUUUUCAGCAGGAAGUCCAUUUUGAAAUACGGAACUACUACCAGAAAUUGAAUUGGCCACUGCCCUUGAUGAAACAAUUGAACAAAGAUCAACUCCAUUUUGCAUGUUUUGAUAGUUUCCAUCAUCUGAUAGCAGUGCACCAUAUGACUGUGGAACCUGACUUCCAGCAGGACUAAUAGUUACACUACCAAUUUCAAUAGGCAGUUUAUUAGAGGUAUUUAAUAGUCUUGGGUUUGAGAGUUCCUGAAAAUCAAACUGCAAAAGAGCAGCAGGCCCAGAUAGGAGAGCAAGAAAUGAACUGCCUAGGGUAGUGUUACUCAUACUGCAGGAACUUAAAUUAGAAAUGUUGGCAAAUGCAGGAUCUAGCAUCCUUCCAUGAAUUUGUGAUCUCCAGUCUUGACCAACAUGUGAAUAAACACUGUGGCCUGAAUUAAUCUCCAUCUGAUCUCGAGGUUCUUGCGAGGUCGAUGAAGCCAUGGCCGGCAUAGACGAUGGAAAUGUCGAGCCACAUUUGACCUGCCACGAGCUGUCCAUCUAAGAGACCUCUCUAAACCCUAGCGUCCCUUCAUCAGAAACCGCUACAAACCACCGGAAAGCUAGAUUAUAAAAGAGCACAGCACACAGCUCUCCUCUCAGCAGUUGUGAAUGACCAAAAUACCCUCUAGAAACAAAGUUGAUACCAUUUUAGAUAGAGAGUAAAAAGGAACUGAGAAAGACACUGAGAGGGUUUGCAGUUG